rnacentral:rRNA from 1 species
UACGAAGGGUGCAAGCGUUACUCGGAAUUACUGGGCGUAAAGCGUGCGUAGGUGGUUCGUUAAGUCUGAUGUGAAAGCCCUGGGCUCAACCUGGGAAUGGCAUUGGAAACUGGCGACCUAGAGUGCGGUAGAGGGUAGUGGAAUUCCCGGUGUAGCAGUGAAAUGCGUAGAGAUCGGGAGGAACAUCUGUGGCGAAGGCGACUGCCUGGACCAGCACUGACACUGAGGCACGAAAGCGUGGGGAGCAAAUAGG